rnacentral:rRNA from 1 species
CCCUUAGAUGUCCGGGGCCGCACGCGCGCUACACUGAAGGAAUCAGCGUGGCUUUCUCCCUGACCCGAAAGGGUUGGGAAACCCGUUGAAUCUCCUUCGUGAUAGGGAUUGGGGCUUGAAAUUGUUCCCCAUGAACGAGGAAUUCCCAGUAAGCGCGAGUCAUAAGCUCGCGUUGAUUACGUCCCUGCCCUUUGUACACACUGCCCGUCGCUACUACCGAUUGAACGGUUUAGUGAGGGCCUCGGAUUGGUCUCGGCCCGCUCUUUACCGGGCGGCGCCGUUGGUCGAGAAGACGCUCGAACUUGAUCGUUUAGAGGAAGUAAAAGUCGUAACA